UGCACACAUGUACGCAUACACACGCAGCAUAUGUGUAGCUUAUAACCGAGAUAAGCAUAACGGAUCCACGCACAAUUUCUCUGCCCACCUUUACAUCCUCCGCUCCUAACCCGCGCGCACACACACAUAUAUAUAACGUGGUCGUUUCUCAGCUCCGAGUGAUAGCCGUCGCCUAAUCGCCCACUCGCUCUUGUGCAUUACUCCCUCCAUCCCUCUCUCUCUCCCGUUUUACAGUCUGCCUGAGAAAAGGAAGAGGGUGUGUGUGGAAGAGGCAACGCGCUAAGAAGCGUAUCACGUGCUCGUUUUUUUUCUCCUACGUCUUCUUCACACUCUUGUGUUGCGUGUGUCUGUGGUCGGCUCAGCCAGCGUACCUCACAUCUCUUUUUCUUAUCACCGCCCUCUCCCCACACACACGCACUUUUUUUUCGCGGGCUGUUUUCUCUCCUUUCUCACUAUCAAAUACCUUACGCCUUUAAGAUUCCCGUUGUCGCUGUGCUGCCUCCUCUUCUAUCACCGUGUAGCAGACCGCCCACAUGCAUACAAGAAACACGUACAAUCACUCCUCUACAUGCAUAGCCGCCCCUGUCUUUAUGUAGCUCCUCUGUUGCGCUGUAGCUGUGCUCUUGAUUACCUUUAUUCCUUUCUCUGCCUCGCUACAGCCUGUCUUUUUCUUCGUACCCGCGCAGCUGCUGCUGAGCAUCAUGGCGCUUCGUUACUCUGCGGAGACCAUGCGGGUUCAGGGAAUCGGCAGCCCGUACGCAUCUCUGGCGGAGCUCUAUAUACCUGAUCCAACCAACGCAUCCCGCCGCACCCUGGAUACUGCACGCACCACACUGAAUUGGUCGGAGCUGCCAAGCGCCUUCCUCAACAUCAAGGCUUACCAAGACAAAGUCGGUGUGGGCUGCAGCGGCUGGGGAAUGGAUGUGAGCUUGCUCUUGGUGCUGUACCCGGCCGUGUACUGGUUCCUGGGUAUUAUGUUGAUCCGCUACCUCUGCCGCGAGCCGUUCGCGCGCUUUGGCAUCUACAUGGGCGUCGUCACAGAGAAAUCCACAUGCCGCCAUCGCGGCAUCGCUUCCGGCAAGCGUGGCGUGGCCUCCCUGUCACCACGCAAUCGGAAAAAGAUCAUGAAGUUUCAGAACCAGAUGUGGCUGUCGAUGUUCUAUUUUGCCUCCUCCUGCUUCGGUUACUACGUCCAGCGUGAUCAGCCCUGGUUCAAACUGCCGCUCGACGACGAAGCCAGCUUGCACCUGCUGCUGCCGCACCCGUACAACCCGCCAGAGGAGCUGAUCAUGUACUACCACUACGGCCUGGCCUUCUACUUUGCCGAGCUCUGCUCCCUCUUCAUCAUUGAGCGCCACAUGAAGCGGUCGGACUUUUUGGAGUACGCGGUGCACCACAUCACGACGCUGCUGCUCAUUCUCUGCUCCCACAUCGGUCUCGAGCACCGCUUUGGCGCUUACGUGCUCUUCAUCCACGAUGCCUCCGACAUCAUGCUGUCUGUCAGCAAGUCCCUCCACUACAUGUGGCAGGAAGAGACUGCGCGUCGGGAGCGCCGCAACACCAAGAAUGCCGAGGAGAGGAACAGCAAGGCGCACCGGAAGUCGUUCCUGCAGCGGUGCGUCGUCUCAGAGCUGAGCUUGAACUGCUGCUUUGCCGCCUUCACUUUGCUCUUCUUCUUUUUUCGACUCUACUGCCUGCCUUUUACGGGCAAGGCAACAAUCCGCAUGUCCCCCAAGGUGCGUCACGGCAACUUCAACAUGUGGAUGCUCGUCUUCCUGCUGAACGUGGCGCUGCAGGGGCUGCAUGUGUACUGGGCGGUCCUCAUCAUUGUUUUGUCACUGUCUAUUGCGAAGGGUGGAGAACUAAGGGACAUCCGUUCCGACGAUGAGGAGGAUUCCGAGUGCCCCUCGUGUGGCCAUCAGAGGUCGCUGACGGAAUCGAACGGCGCCGCCGCCGCUGAGGAAGGCAAAGGCAUGCAACAGCGCAAUGUAGCGCGCGAGAGCAAAGCCGCGCCGUCCUUGUCUUCAUCCCUGGCGUCGACUCGCAACCGCUCGCAGCGCCGCGGCUCCUCCAAACGGAAGGAGUAGUCGAAAGACGAACAACAACGCACACACAAAGAAAAAUACGCCCAAUGGAAGACGAAAAGAAGCUUUCAUCUCCGCUGUCGACAGCGAGCGAGUCAUCUCCUACGCGCUUCGCGCACUUGUGUGUUCGGGGGAUGCGAUAUUUUUUAUCAUUACUUUGUUUUGCCUGUUUCAUAAAGUAGCCGGCUUUAAAGGUUUGUGGGGAGAGGGGUGGGGGCAAUCCGCUGGCACACACAGAGGCGGACGCGACCUGGAACGGCUCCUUUUCUCUAUCGAUCCGUCUUGCCACUGCCACCACGACCGUCACCCUUCUUCUGGUCUUCUUUUUGUCGAAACGGCUGUUUAGAUCUGCAGACAGGCCGCCAGGAGCACAAACACACACAGGCGCAUCUGCACAUGUACGUGUGUUUCGGAUUACUACUUGUAUGGGAGCUAAUGAGCGGAGAGUCUGCUUGUAGAGGGGCAGCGCGUCUUUGCUGUCUCUGUUUUGUUAUGUGGUGCCCUUGUUUUUUUUUUUGAGCGCGGGCGAGCGCCAGUGGCGGCGGCCUCGGGUGUGGGCCGAGGGGUGAAGGGUCGAAAGUAUGAAAGCGAUAAAGAGAGCGAGAGACAGCGGCUCCUCCCACUUUUUCCUUUUCUUUCUUUAUUGCGCGCGCGAAUUCGAUGCGUAUGGCCAUACCGCCUGCUAGCCAUUCCGCUGUGCCUUCUCAGCUCUGUGUUGCUCCUUCUCUCUCCUGUGUUUGUGUGUGUGUGUGUGUGUUGUUGGUUGGCUGGUUGGCAAGUUUUCUUCUUUGUGCCUUUUUCGUCUUUCGCCGUGUGCCUGGUACUAUGCCAGCCCGAUUAGUGGUGUAUACGUGUGCUGGUGGAAGUACUCACACGCGUGGAAGUAGGACGCUAGAUACGCUGCGACAACAAUCCAUCAUGUAGUCACCUGAAUUCCUAGUGAUUGUGUUCGGCUCGCUUGUAGGCCUAAAUUGGGACUGCUGCAGUUUGUACCGGUGUGCAUGCACCCUUCUUAUGUUCAUGUUGCUGCCACUGACUCGCCCCUCCCUUAAUGUUUGCAGAGCUCUCUGAGUGAUCAUCAUCAACUGCGUCUUCG
rnacentral:misc_RNA from 1 species